UUGUAGUAAUGGAUUUUAUUUUGAUGUACUUGUGCUAUUAUUGGAAGCUUGUCAAGAUUAUUUAUGGAAGUAGAUGAGUCACAGGUAAGUAAAUAAAGAUAAGAAAACCACAGAAGCCACCGUUCUUCCAGUUGGAUGGUAAACUAAGGGACCAUCUUGUCUCAGCUCCUCACCCCUCUAUGCCUGAGAGCCAUGAGAGACGGUUGGGGAAGCAGAUUUCUCCUGUCUCCUUGGAAGAGGUGGCACCUGGUCACGACCCAGGAGCAGGGAAAGAGGAGGCUAGGAGGCUGAUACUGAGCAUCAGGGCCAAGGAACAGUUUCUGGAGGUUACACACCGAGCCCCAGAGCUCCACGUGGCUCUGUCUGCCCCCGUGACUCCCCCUCGUCCUUACUGUUUGCUUGGAAGCUGCUGAGCUCACGUUGACGCCGCUGCAGCCGGCGUGGCAAGGGGAGAGGUACUCGACUCCAUUGUCUCCGCAGACCGGGUGGAAGAUGGAAUCCGGGCACAAGCAGUCCCUGCGGCAGGCAGGAGGCUGCGGAUGUAUAGAACUUGAUGUGCUGCCAGCAAAACAGGAAGCGAGGAAUCAAACAAAGCGAGACCAAGAAACGGCGCUCCACUCCAGCUCGGCACGAGUUCCCGGCCUGGCUGAUGUGCUUGCAUGUCUCUGUUUGUCUUGGGCCGGUGCCACUCUAGGAUCUGAACUGAGCCCAUGGGAGCGAGGCACGGAUCUGCCACUGUAAGGAAAUCAAGGCCCUCUCCGUUUCUCCCGGCGCUUGGACCCACUAAUUACUCAGUUGGGAAGGUCUAGUCAGCAAACCCCAAUGCCACUGUCAGAGUCAAAAUGACCAACUGACUGAGACUCUGUUGACAGAAAUGUCUGAUGCCACAGCAAGGCCAUCGGUAACAUUUGCCUUGUCUCGUCUUCCAGCUAGGUUCUGGCUAAAAGCAGUGGCUGGAACCUUUGGAGGCGUCUGAGGUUCUCACUGAUUGCUCAUCUGGGUCAAUAUGGACUCUUGGAUCUGGGGUCUCUCCACUUCCCUACUAUGGCCAGAACUUCAUCAAAAUGGAUUUCAAUGGCUGAUCUUAUUGACUUUUUUUUUUUCGAAGCCAGGACAACUGAGUAGCACAUUGAUGAAACAAUACUAGUGACUUGUUGGUAUUUAUGGGAUAUCACAACGGAAGGGGCUCUUCACGUAUGGAUAACUUCCUCAUAGCAACAGACAGCAUCACACCUAGAAGUAAGGCCGGAAAGAUGACCAGAGCUGGGACCAAACUCCCAGUGAAAACCAUCCAAAGGUCCCAAAGCUUCCGGGCUUCUCUGGGUCCACAGUCAGCCUGCAGAACAGCAGUCAGUUCCCCAUGCUAGGCAAUGUUCCCUUCCUUUGUUCCCCUGUCCUCCUUCACCUAUCAAAUACAGAGGAGGUUAUCUCAAACUA